AUUGAACGCUGGCGGCAGGCCUAACACAUGCAAGUCGAACGAGUGGCGGACGGGUGAGUAAUGUCUGGGAAACUGCCUGAUGGAGGGGGAUAACUACUGGAAACGGUAGCUAAUACCGCAUACCAUCGGAUGUGCCCCGAGGGGAUUAGCUAGUAGGUGGGGUAAAGGCUCACCUAGGAGACGAUCCCUAGCUGGGCUGAGAGGAUGACCAGCCACACUGGAACUGAGACACGGUCCAGACGCCUACGGUAGGCAGCAGGAGGGAAUAUUUCACAAUGGGCGCAAGCCUGAUGCAGCCAUGCCGCGUGUGUGAUGAAGGCCUUCGGGUUGUAAAGUACUUUCAUCGGGGAGGCGUUACCCGCUGAAGAAGCACCGGCUAACUCCGUGCCAGCAGCCGCGGUAAUAC
rnacentral:rRNA from 1 species